rnacentral:rRNA from 1 species
UACGGAGGGUGCAAGCGUUAUCCGGAUUCACUGGGCGUAAAGGGUGCGUAGGCGGUUCUGAAAGUCUGAUGUGAAAUCUCCAGGCCCAACCUGGAAACUGCAUUAGAAACUACAGGGCUAGAGGCUUGGAGGGGGAACUGGAAUUCUCGGUGUAGCAGUGAAAUGCGUAGAGAUCGGGAGGAAUACCAGUGGCGAAGGCGGCCUUCUGGACUGACACUGACGCUGAGGCGCGAAAGCCAGGGGAGCAAACGGG